AUGAGUGAAGCAGGCGGUGGCCACUGGGGAAACGCCGCGAGCAUGCGCCUGGAGCAAGGUGAUCAGUGGUGGCCCGGCUCCAGCACAGUGCUGCCACGUGGCUGGUUUGGCUCCUUCUUCCAAUUUUCAAUCUUCCAGAAAAAGAGAGACUUAAGGAAAAAAAAAAAAAAAAAAGAAAUCUGAUUUUUACAUGUUGGUGACAAAUUCGGAGUUGUUUAAAACGCUGUGCUGGCCAAACAAAAUAUGCUUGCUAGUAGUUUCCAGACUCUGCUUCAAGAAUAUAAAGGACCAGCCUAAACAUCCCAGCCAGUGUUGAAUAUUUGCAUCUCCCUAUUCUGGGUGUAAGCUGCCUUCUGUCACUCCUCUGAGCCUGCUUUUAGUAGAUAUAUCUCCCUCCAUUUCCCCAGAACUCGCUGGACUUGUAUCAGCCACUUUCCCUCACUCCUCUUGUCUCCUAUGGGCAUCCCUUGCAGGCCUCACAUCUACGGCUUAAGAAAUCUUAUGCUUUUAACAGAAUUUAUUAGGGCUUGUUAGAGUUCAUUUUUAUUAUAUGUCAGAAUCCUUUUCCUGUGAUGAAAUAUUUAGAAGCCCACAUUUAAUUUAAUUUUUUUAAAUCCGUAGUUUAGUCUAAGAAAUGUCAAUACCAGGAAUGCAGCCUUAUUGGGCACCUUAGGAACAUGGGUGGGAAAAGGUUAAUUCACAGACCUGGAUAGUCUUCCCCUUCAUACUCCAGUGAGUCCUAGACUUCCAUUUGUCCCAGAAAUCCUUAGACCCUUGCGGGGGUGUAGGGUGCAAACGUGCUGGUAUCUGGGGCCUCCCCCUGUGAUUCUGAUUCAUGCUAUUUUAGUAGGGCUGGGGGAGGGGGUGUUCUAUAUUUUAAAACAUAUUCCCCAGAACAGUUGAGAAACACUGCUUUAGCAGAGGUGUUUUUGGCUUCUGCAUCUUUUAUCAUUUAAGAAGGUUUUGCAACCGUUGGGCCUGGUAGUCAUUACAUUUGGUCACUCAGGACACAAUAUAAAGUUCGUAUGCAGAGAAGCUGAGUUAAGCUAUCUUUACAUGACUGAGGUGCUUUUACCAUGAAGAGGUGGCUUUUAUGGUUUUGGUUAUAUAUGGAUUUAAAAAAAACGGUGCUAUCUUUGUUUUAUAUAAGUAGCAUAUGUGUAGUAAGGUCUCAUUUAUCAGACAUUGUGGGGUGCAUGGUCUACACAACUUAAGGUUGUCCUUCAAGUUGCUUUGGGGCUUUAUUGGAACCAUUUCCUAAGUUAGUAUACUCUUCCUUGCUUUUGCAAACCAGAAUCUGCUUAAGGUGAUGAAGUCUUUUCAGGGUCAUUAUUUGUGUUCUGAAUUCUUGCAGGUCCUGUUUAGCUUUGUUAAAGCCCCUAAUGGUCUUGCUCUGAGUUCUGGAGAUGUGAUAGUUUUUCUUUCCUCUCACUGUUAUUUAUCAUUUCUCUCUGCCAAUACUCCGCAUGCCUCUAGGAACUUUCCUCUCCUGUGCUGUGUGGGAGUUGGGGAACCAUGAAACUCUUACCGCAUGUCAGGUAAUGGUAGGCAGGCUCUGAAGGAGGCUCUGAGAGGCAUUUCUGGCAUUACAUGAAUGAACAUUGCCGUAUUGACUUAGUGACAUUAUUUUAGCAACUCCCCUACCUUCUUCUGACUCACUUCCUGAUCCUCAGCUACCAUGUCAGACCUGUGACAACAAUAUGAGUGAGAAAUUGCUACAAGUGGUUUCUCUUGAUUUUUAAUCUAUCCCCCAAUCGUGCUAAUAUUUUUACAUGUACAGUUUUAUGAUGUGAAACUUAAAUAGAUUAAGAUGCAAAUGAACAUUUCUCAGGCCAAGAUUUUGUGAAGGACAAUAAAGUGUUUUUGAUUCAGUAUGGUUGUGAUUGGAGCUAUAAACUCGUUGUCUACCUAUGAAAUUCAAUCCUGCAGUCAUUCUGAAAUAAAGGUGUUACAAGUCA